UACGGGGGGGGCAAGCGUUGUUCGGAAUUACUGGGCGUAAAGGGCUCGUAGGCGGCCAACUAAGUCCGACGUGAAAUCCCCAGGCUUAACCUGGGAACUGCGUCGGAUGCUGGAUGGCUUGAAUCCGGGAGAGGGAUGCGGAAUUCCAGGUGUAGCGGUGAAAUGCGUAGAUAUCUGGAGGAACACCGGUGGCGAAGGCGGCAUCCUGGACCGGCAUUGACGCUGAGGAGCGAAAGCCAGGGGAGCAAACGGG
rnacentral:rRNA from 1 species